rnacentral:lncRNA from 1 species
UAAUCGACAGAAGGGAACCGGGAAGAAAAGCUGGGCUGGGGAUGCGGUGUAAUAAGUAACCCCCGCGUCCGGGGAAAGCUGCGGUCCCGCUCAGGGCGACACGUGAAUCAGUCCCUUCCGCCGACGGAGAAUGAAGCGGGCUCGGGGCCACGGGGCCGCCGCCGGGCCUUCCCUUGACUCACAGCUGAGACGCUAGAAUUUCUGGAGUUCUCCCCGGGGGCUUUGGGAAAGCCUAGGAACUCCCGUCUGCUACCUCCCUGACGGAGGUUACCUGGACUUGGGGCCCGAGGACACCGGGCCUGUGAGCAAGCAGGGCCCAGGACAAGCUACUCGUCAGCCCCAAUCUCAGUACUUUUGCCUUGAAGACACAAGAUUUUUGGAAGAACCAGAUGGAGAUAAGGAGAGCUCAGGUUAGGAAACAGAUUCGGGGAAGUGAAAUAAUU